CUGUUUGCCAUGGUUUAUGGUUCGAAUGGUAACUCUAUUUUGUUGUAUGAGUUGGGGCCAUAUGAAAAAUCAAAAAAAAAAUAUAUAUAUUUUUGUAUUUUGGCAUUUUUUUACAAAGCAGUGAACUAAAAUUUUGUAAAAAAAAUUUACUAUUCAGUUAACGAUUAAACGUGCAAGAGUAAAGUAUCGAAUUGAGACAAAGAAACGUAGAGAAACGUAUAAAAAAUAAAUUUUUAUUCUUAACCACCAUCCCAGCUGCUCUGUUCGUUGAUCUCCGGUUGUCUUCUGAUUAUUAUGUUGAUAUGUUUUUAAUGUGAUUUUUGUUUGCCUUUAAAUCACC